ACUCCAGGCUCGCUUCGCCAGAAAUGGAUCCCCUGCGUGGUUGGCGGCGUAUGUCAGGGUGGGAGCGGGGUGGGUAAGUUUUCCUGUUCGGGACGUCCAGAUACGCUCCCCCUGUCCGCCGGACUCUGGACUCUGGUAUCAGGUCUAAGAUACGCUGCUAGGCCCAGGGAGCAUCUUGCAAGACCAGUCGGUUCUGGAAGAUUCCAUAGGUGUCCAAAUGGGUGGGACGGCAGGGGAAGGGGUCAGGGCUCUUGUUCUGUAGUCGGAAUGGGUUUGUGCCAUUGAAGAACUUUUUUGUGCCUCUGGCUUUGAGGCAAUGGGCCAUGCCGUGUUCUUCCCGGAGACUCCCUUCUGCCCUCUUCGACCCCCAGAAAGCAACGCCCUGAAGAUGACUGUUGUGGGCUCAUUGUGGAGAGGUUCUUGACGAUACAUCAGGGGAGAAGGAUCUGGAAGUGGCAGCUUGUGAUUUCAAUACCAAAGAGAGCCGAGGGCGCGCAGAGGCAGAGGUGAGUCCCUUUGUCUUUGACGCCUGGCGUGCCGGUGGAUGCUGGUGGAGGAGAAACCGAUCAGUCAGUGGGGUCUGAAGUGAGUUUCUGCGGUGACAUUCGGGGUAGGAGACGAAAUUACUUCCCCCAGGGCAAGUGGCAGCGUUUGGCAUUUUGAAGGUUGGCAAUGAGAUAAAUGCAGUAAAAUAGGAACUCGCACAAAGCUUCCCUUUAGCUCCCUGGAACGGGGCUGUGGUAGGAGGAAAAAUGGGGGACAGGCUGGUCUGGCAGGGCUCGCUCCCAGGGGACAGCCUGCCCGUUAGGGACCAGAGAGAGCCAGGGAUCAGCCCAGAGUCCCAUGGGGUGAUAUUUCUGCUCCAUUUUAUCCCUUCUGGGACCACACGUUUGGGUCUCUGCACCUGUGAGUGGGAGCAAGUGAAAUCUCUUCCGCGGACAGAAUCACGGGUGUCAGGGGCACAGGGACGUCUCCUGCCCGCUGACAUCCGAGUGUUCGUGUUCCUUUGCGUCUCUGCUUUCGCACGAGUUUGGACCUGCACUUGGCCUCCAAAGCCGACCAAACUGUCCCUUUCUUCCCAUGGUUCCCACCCAGCCACCUCCACUAGCAGGGAGCCCCCAGAGACCCUCGGGUCGAUAAGCAACAGCGGACGCAGGGCUCUUCUUUUCAAGGAGUUAUGCCGGCUGAAUGUACUGCUUCAGCUUGGCUGCCUCGCUGGCGGGAUAAAUUGCCGCCGAAGAGGUUUCAGGAACCUGAAAGGAUGAACGUGGCCACCUGGGAGAUGCUGCCGAGGGCAGAGGUGUGCCUUCGGUUCUAGAAAGUUCUCCAGCGCUCAGGCAUCGAGACUGAUGGGACGCCCCCCGGUCGUGGCUGGGAGAGGAAGAACCCGCCUUCCUGAGUGGCCAAAUCCAUCGGGAGGCGGGAGGGUUGAUGUCCAGCCCGGGAGACUUCCUCUCUCUGCCGUCCCCAGGCCUCAGUUUUCCCAUCCGCUAAGUGGGAAAUGGGAAUAACCUCUGACCUCAAGGUGUUCUGAGAGAACUCCUGGUGCUUCCAGACCUCAGGCCCCCCCCCCUCCCUCCCGGGACCACCUGCAGGUCCGUCCUUCUGGCCCUGUUCAACUACAGGCCCCCCUGGCCUCUGACACCUUCCUGAUGACUUAACUGGGGCCCUGCCUUCCGUUCCCUAGUCGCCGCUGUGAACUGCGAAGAUGAGUGCCUGAGCACUUCCUGCUUGCUUCCUGCUGCACUGUUGUCUUUCCAGCACGAGGACGGGCCGCCCCUUGUCUCUAAUGCCCUCCCCACACGCACACUUGGGAGCGGGCCAGCACAGCCCCACUCCGUCAGUCAAAUUCCCUUUGGGAGAAGCAGACAUGGAGACAGGAGGCUGACGGGUGGUUGCCUGGGCCGAGAGGAGGGAGAACUGGGGAGCACUGCCCACGCGUGCAAGGCUUCCAUUCGUGCGGAGAAAAUGGUUUGCAAGAAGAAGGCAGGUGGACCUACGGAGGGGUUUUCGGAAGAGGAGGGACGACCACAGUUGACUUUUUAGACAGCCUGCCCAGGGGGUGGUGAGGUGACAGGCAGGGGGCAGGGGAGCCGUAGAGGGGGUAAGAAUGCGGAUUUACGAGUCUGGAUGAGAAUGAAUAAAAGAUGUGGUUUAUACA
rnacentral:lncRNA from 1 species